UCAAUGGAGAUAGAAUUGCAAAUUAAAAAUAAUUAAAAAAAAAGAAGCAAAAUAGGAAAACACUAACAAUAGAAAAUAAUAAGACCUUUUUGAAAAAAUCUUGUAAGGAAGACUUUCUCUUAACUCACAAAGGGAAAACUGCGUUUCAUUAUAGGGAGGCUUACACAUUUGAAAAAACUUCAGAAAUAAACGAUAUCAUCUCACAUAAAAUAAUUUCAUUAAGGGGAGACUUACACACUAAAAAAAAAUUCUCACAACAAAUAGUUUAAUGAGAGGGAGAAUUACACACUUCAGAAAAAUUCACAAAGGGAAAAUUGUGACUCAUGAAGUAAUAAUUUCAUUCAGGGGAGACUUACACACUUAAAAAAACUUUACUGAGGGAAAAAUUUGUUUCACAAGUAACAAUUUCAUUAUAGGGAGACUUACACAUUUGAAAAAACUUCAGAAAUAAACGAUAUCAUCUCACAUGAAAUAAUUUCAUUAAGGGGAGACUUACACACUUAAAAAAACUUCUCACAACAAAUAAUUAAAUGAGGGGGAGAAUUACACACUUCAAAAAACUUCACAAAAGGAAAAUUGUGACACAUGAAGUAAUAAUUUCAUUCAGGGGAGACUUACACACUUAAAAAAACUUUACUGAGGGAAAAAUUUGUUUCACAAGUAACAAUUUCAUUAUAGGGAGACUUACACAUUUGAAAAAACUUCAGAAAUAAACGAUAUCAUCUCACAUGAAAUAAUUUCAUUAAGGGGAGACUUACACACUUAAAAAAACUUCUCACAACAAAUAAUUAAAUGAGGGAGAGAAUUACACACUUCAAAAAACUUCACAAAGUGUAUAUUUUGUUUCACAAGUAAAAAUUUAAUUAUAGGGAGACUUACACAUUCAAAAAAACAUUAGACAUUUGUGUUCUAACACUGUUAGAAAAUGGACAUGUUAGUAACAGGUUCAUUUUUUUUUUUCUAAUUGAUUCAAAAGUUUUUAAAUCAAAUAUUUUCAUUCGUUUCGUUCAUUGUUAAACUCACAAAAGAGCAAAACCUAUUUUAUAAAUAAGCUUAAAAAAUAACCUGGUGAAAGUUUUAACUUUUCCAUUUCUUUUUCUGCAUAAGAAGCAUUUAAAGACAUUUUUUACACAGAUUUUAGUUUUAAGCGUGAAAAUAAUUUUGCGCAAUUUUUAGGCGGGUCAAUCAUACGGGCUUAAAUUGUUUGCGUGUGUAAUUCUCCCCUACGUAAAAUUCAUAUUGGUGUGACACCUUUAUUAGGAAUUCCUAUUCAUCCAAUUAAUAGUUUUCCAAAUGACUAUAUGCAUUCUGUCUGUCUGGGGGUAGUACGAAAACUUCUAAAUUUUUGGUCUUCUGGACCAUUCAGUGUUAAGCUAUGUUCGCAAUCACUAAAAACAAUAUCAGCUCGAUUAAUUCAUGUUUCAUUGUUCUUUCCAUCAGAUUGUAACAGAAGACCUCGUUCAUUGGAGAGUAUGAAUAAGUGGAAGGCAACAGAAUUCCGAUCAUUUCUCCUUUAUUCAGGGCCUAUUGUUUUGUGUGAUAUUCUUAGUAAACCAGUUUAUGAACAUUUUCUUAUUUUACAUAGUUCCAUAUUUCUAUUAUGUAGGUCACAAGAGCAUGAAGUUAUUAAAUAUUGUGGUGAGUUGCUGAAAAUAUUUGUUACAAAGGCUGUUGCCUUGUAUGGCAAAUCAUUUAUGUCAUAUAAUGUGCAUUCUCUUAUACAUCUGCAUAAUGGUUGUUUACAAUUUGGACCGCUUGGCAAUUUUUGUGCUUUCCCCUUUGAAAAUGCUCUUGGUCAUUUAAAACGAAGAAUUCGAAGUGGAUAUUUGCCGCUUCAGCAAGUAGCUUCUAGUCUUUCUGAUAACAAAUCUGAACAUUCUAUGAAAGUUCACACUGAUGGAGUUUCCCUUCAACAUUGUAGUGGGCCUUUACCAAAUCAGGGCCAUUUUUUGCAAUAUAAAGUGUGCCAUUACAAAAAUCAAAGGUUUUCAAGCGGCUUGCGGGAUAGUUCAGUAAUGGUAGGACAAAAGUGCUAUCAAAUAGUUAACAUCUUAGCAGAAGACUUAAAAAAUCCAUUAUUCUUAGCCAGGUGUUUUACUGUGCAAACAAACUUUUAUGACGUUCCACUUGCAAGUUCGAAACUAUCUAUUUUUAAAGUUAAUUGUCUUAGUGACACUUUGCAUACUAUUCCGUUUUCUGAUAUUGUUAUAUCGCUGAAUAUGGGAGACAACAACGAUGUUGUUGUCUCCCAUAUUCUUCUUCCUUUGUUGUAAUCCCAUUAUCAGAGAUUUGAGUUCUUAUUAUAUUUUAGAGUUCUAUAUAUUUUUUCAAAUAAGAUAAUAAAUUUAUAUUAUACAGUAUUUGUAAUUUGUUCCAUGUCUAUUUAUGGUAUACAACAUGUAUUUCAUUUUGUUAUAUCUAUUUAUACAUUUCUUACAAUUGCUUUAAUUUAUUUGGGCAGCUUUUUAAAUAUAUAGUGUAAAAUUAUGAACUACAUUUACACAUUUUAUUAUUUCUUUGUUUUGAAGUUUAAAUUUGCAGAAUGUUAGUUCUUGAAGUAUCUUUGAACGUUGUUUAGCAGGAUGUAAUUGUAUUACUCUUAUAUGGUAAAUAAUAGGUAAAUAAUAAUAGGUCUUAUAUGGUAAUUAACUAUUUUUUUUUUCUUUAUUUAAAUUAAGCAAAUUUUUUUUUUUAAUAUUUUGUAUUUGAAAUUUUUUUAAUAACAGAUGUCUUAUUCAGUAGUUAUUUUUAAUAUUGUUAAUGAAGUGGCAACAGUGUCCAGUAAAUGGUUUAAAGAUUCAGGAUGCGUUUUGUGGCCCAACUGUAGAGUAGGGAAGAAAUUGCAAAACAUGUUACUAAACCAUGAAGAGCCAGGUGCUGACUGGAUUUCUUAUGAAGUACGAGUGUUGUCCAGUAACAUCUUAACUCUCAAAUCAGCAAGGGCAAAGGAGCGACUAGCUGAGGAAAAUUCUGAUCUUAGUUCAGCUGAAGAUGGUAGCGGAAUUAUAUAUGCCCCUAGCAGAUUUAACAGUCAAGAAUAUUGUCAACCGCUAUCCAAAAUCAGCAAAAUAACUUCAAAUAGCCAUACCACUUCCUAUUUAAACAACCCCUUGGUUCCUCAUGCACCAUCACUAGUUUCUAAUCCAUCUUUAAUUCAAACUUCAGCAUCGUUUUCUAGUAAGCUAAAUGUUUAAUUUUGUUAAACAAGAACAAGCUUGUUGACUGAUUAAUCAUUUAAUGAUCUUAAUAACCAUUUUUUGUAUCUGCAUAUAGCAUUUUUUAUAUCUGCAUAUAAGAAUGUGUUAGAUUUGUAUAACUUUUAUGUAGCUAGUCAAUACUGAAAAAAAAAUUUUUUUUAGAUGAUGAUCAUAGCAUAUUUAAUACGCAAAGAGUUUUUACGACCCUUAGCCAAAAAUAGAAAAUUUAAUUCUAACUGCCAAACCACUUCAUCUAAUAACUAUCCUUCAUUUCCAGAUAAAUCAGCACUAGUUCCUGAUUUUUUAAUUUCAAACUCUGUUCAAACUCCAACGCCAAUCUCUACUAAUGUUCCUUGUGCACAUCAUUGUACGCAUGUUGUUACGUGGUUUGAGAAAUUAUUUAAAGAAAUACAACAAAUGCGUGCAGAACAGACUGUGAUAAAUCAUCGUUUAGAUCAACAAUGUCAAAAUGAGCAUCAGCAUGUAGAUAGCAAUUUUUUGAAUUGUCUUCCACUUGAGAGUGAAGUUGAUUUUGAACGAUUCGGUAUAGAGAUAGAUAGUGACAAUGGAAAACGAACUUCUUUGAUACGUUAUUUGCGGAAGAGGUCAGACUCAAAUGUCAACAAGACCAUACUAAAUAUAUUGAGAAGUUUAUUAAAGGACAAUGUUCUUAGUUGUUAUUCUAGAGAUGGGAAACGCGGAAAAAAAAGUUUUUCUUCAGCAAAGGGAAACUUUGUUUCCAUAAUUCAAGAUGUUGUUUUGAAAGUUCAUAAAGGUGUGUCGUUGGUCCAAAUAAAUGUUGCGAUUUCGGAACAAUUAAAGAGACUCAAUCAAAGAAAUCGAAAUUCUAAGUCUACAACAGCUGAAGAAACUACACCUGAAAUUCCAGAGUUUGAUUAAAAACCAAUUAUAUAAAGUCUUUUUUAUUGUUGAGAAGACUUAUAAGUUUGAAAGAUCCUGCUUACACACUUUGAAAAAUACAGCAAAUGCUGGAAGCUAGAACAGGAAGUUAUAAAUCAGCAUCUUGAUGGUAAAAUGAAAAUCAACAACUAGUAGCACUUCUUUGAAUUGUCUUUACAUUAGAGUAAUGUUAAUUUUGAUUGGUAUGGAGAUAGAUGCAUGCAAUGGAAAACGAACUGCUGUUAUAUAUGUGUGUGUAUUUGACAUAUUUUUGCCACACAAAACAUAUUUUUUGUGGGGAAGUAAUAUAUGUUUGGAGAACAUUCUUGAGACACUGUAAAAGUAUUUUAAAUAGUAUUGCUUAUUUUUGUUGUUGGUACAUUCAGAUACUGUUUGGUAUGUUUUUUAGAAACUAUUUGUACGUUUAGAUAUUGUUUCUAAAGUUCUUAAAGACGUGUUAUUCGUUCAAGUAAACGAUGCUGUUAAAGCAGGUUGUCUGAGCAGUUAAAGAAACUUAAUCAAAUGACUCAAAAUUCUCUUCUUUAAGCAGCCGAAGCAACGAUACUCGAAAUGCCUGGAAUGGAUAAUUAACCAAGUAAUAAAUAAACUUUAAAAUAAA